rnacentral:tRNA from 1 species
AAGUUAGUACUUGUGACUUCCAAUCACCCAGUCUUGGUUAAAAUCCAAGGAAAGAUA